GCUCACACCAGGAACCCACCAACUUGAGAGCGACAAUUAGGAAGCUGCUUUUAGCUCCAUUUUAGAACCUUUUUUAAGGUUUUAGGUGGAAACUCUUGCCAACCCAUUGGGCGCAAUUUAUAGCUAGAGUUUUCCUGCCUGGCCCACAGUCAGGACAAUUCUCUCUCACUCUCCAG